UCGAUGAGUAGGGCGGGACACGUGGUAUCCUGUCUGAAUAUGGGGGGACCAUCCUCCAAGGCUAAAUACUCCUGACUGACCGAUAGUGAACCAGUACCGUGAGGGAAAGGCGAAAAGAACCCCGGCGAGGGGAGUGAAAAAGAACCUGAAACCGUGUACGUACAAGCAGUGGGAGCACAGGUUUACCUGUGUGACUGCGUACCUUUUGUAUAAUGGGUCAGCGACUUAUAUUCUGUAGCAAGGUUAACCGUAUAGGGGAGCCGUAGGGAAACCGAGUCUUAACCGGGCGUUAAGUUGCAGGGUAUAGACCCGAAACCCGGUGAUCUAGCCAUGGGCAGGUUGAAGGUUGGGUAACACUAACUGGAGGACCGAACCGACUAAUGUUGAAAAAUUAGCGGAUGACCUGUGGCUGGGGGUGAAAGGCCAAUCAAACCGGGAGAUAGCUGGUUCUCCCCGAAAG
rnacentral:rRNA from 1 species